AGGUACCACUCCGUCUCGAAGGAUCGUUCUAUAGAGAGUGGAUGGCGGCGCUCGAUGCGGCCGGCGCGGCUUCGAUGUGGGUGGCCAGCGUAUGAAUCCAGGCGAGGCACCAGUGGAUCCAGGCUAUAAGUGCCGGGCGCGAGGGUAUCCAGUACCACUGGAUCGAGAGGAUCCAGCAGCAAUCGAUCGAGGGUAUCCAAUGGGGGAUGCGGGUCGCGAGUCGAUCUAUAGAACCUAGCAUUUGGGGCGGUCCAUUCAACCGGUGGGCGCGGGACGAGGGCGAUAAUGGAGGUCGCUGGCUGCGCCUCGCGGCUAAGAUCGAUCGCGGACGGGGGCGGAUGGAGGUCGUUGUGGCGGCUGUAUGCAGACCACGGUGCGAUGCUGAAGGAUCAGGCGGGUCCUCGUGAUGGGUCCCUGCGCCACGCCAGGGUCUUCGCCGUCGCUGGUGGUGGGCUGGUGGCAGGGUAGUCGUCAGUCGCCAGGGCAGGGAAGUACCUCUUCGUGAUGCAGCGCAGCCUCUACCUGGUUGCCUAAUUCUCCAUCUUGCUUUUUUCAUGACUAGUUUCUAUGUUUCCUGAUAGCCAGGCAGUCGAAGCCCUAGCACGCACUCCAGCAGCACGGCGCAGGCCUCCUGCACCACCUCGCCGUUCAUUGUUAUGGAAGCGCAAUGCUUUGAGCUUCUCUUAGCGGCUUGGAGGUGGAGCAAGGAGGACGGGAAGGUUGUACUGUCAUGCUCGAUCUUACAUCUUGUAUCGACAGUGGUGGCCAGUAGUGGGAGCCUACUGAAAUCAACUUAUAUGGUACAAUGUGUUGGCUCAAGAGCUGCCGGAGUUGUUCGCUUCUUAAUAUUUGGACAGUUGAAUUCAGAAAUAUAUGAGACAUGCAUUUGAAUUAAGAGAUGGAGAAUCUGAUUAUACCUUGCAAAAGGUGCUCCGGUAGGGGAAACUGCUACUUUUGACAAUAAAACAGAUGCCAUCAUAUCAGUGUAUUGUUAGCCAGAAAUUUCUCGAGCUUAUAAUUUCUGGACAUUUAAGUAUUCAAUUUGUGUAAAUGGUGCUAGAUUCAGAGCUUAGAGUGGUAAGUGUAUUAUUACCCUGCAUUUUUGCUUGGUCAUAUAGGUUAUAGAAGUAUCAGAUUCGACUAUAAAGUUGUGCACAGUUCACUUAUAACAUAUAUUUUACUGUCCUUAAUGACCAGGCAAAUAACAUAAAUGUUAUUGGGCUGCAGGCAUCCUCCUUCUGCUGCAAUGAUGCAUAGUGCAUUAUGAUUUCAUAAUAUUCCUUUUACACUGAUCCCCUGAAGUUAAACAUGAAAGCAGGCAUGAAGUAUUAUUAUGAAAGUACUACAAAAGAAGCAUUUUUAGGUGGUUUAGAAACUUUUGUCAGAAGUUUCCUAUGUGGUGUUCAAGUUAUAAAGUAAAAUCAAUACCUUUC